rnacentral:rRNA from 1 species
GUGCAGCCGCCGGGAUAAUACCGGCAGCCCGAGUGAUGGCCGAUCUUAUUGGGCCUAAAGCGUCCGUAGCUGGCUGCGCAAGUCCGUCGGGAAAUCCAGUAGCCCAACUACUGGGCGUCCGGCGGAAACUACAAGGCUUGGGACCGGAAGGCUCGAGGGGUACGUCCGGGGUAGGAGUGAAAUCCCGUAAUCCCGAACGGACCACCGAUGGCGAAAGCACCUCGAGAAGACGGCUCCGACAGUGAGGGACGAAAGCCAGGGUCUCGAACCGGAUUAGAAACCCCGGUAGUCC